AUUAAAUUGGCAGAUGUGUAUGCUUUAAAUUUAGAAUUUAAUUAAACAAUAAAUAUUGUAUUUAAUA
rnacentral:tRNA from 1 species